AAUUUUUUUGCCUAUGCUAAACUUCAGACGAAGUCCGGCAGCGAAGGUGUGUUGUCACGUAUCUAAAACAUCUGAAGUUCUAGAAAAUGCUCCUGAGCAAUGUUGAUUUUUGUUUUGGUUCACUGCUGUUCCUGGAUGGACAAUGAACGAUCAUCUGAUUUGAUUGUUGAAGAAGCCAAAAAUAUUCUUUUUACAUAUAAUGCUGCCGUAGAACAAUUCAGGCAACGUGCAGCCCCAAAGACAAAACGAAUGCCAAUUUUGACAAUGAUGAAUCUUAGAUGUGCCUGGUGUAAGCAACAUGGUUCUUGCUGAUCUUGAACCCUAAAAUACCAGACAUGUUUUUCUUUAGUGGCGAUAUUCCAUCACUUGUGCAUCGCUACAUGGCCAUCGUCAGGCUCAAGCAUCCAAUGAAUAUGGGAACAAAUUGCUGUGAUCUUCAACUUCAACAAUUUUACCUCUUUAGCACUAGUAGGUAAGGAAAAUUUAAUUUGCAUUUUGUAAUUUUUUUGCCAGUGUUUGGCUGAGUGAACUUGCAGUAUUAUAAAGGUAUUCAAGAUAACUGAAAUGGUAGCCCCUAAAUCAGAAGAAUUUUAUCUGACAUCUUUCUUGCGUGAACCUGUUAAGAAAAAGCCUUGUUAUAUCAAAGGGCACCUAAAGAAGAAAUUGGCUUCAUUAACGAUUCAAACUCAUUGAUUCUAACAACAGCCUGGUUGCAAACUUUUACCCAUUUCGUUGCAAUAAAUGUAUUUCUGAUCCAGUCUUCAAAACCCACAAAUGCCAAGGUACACAUAUACUUCUAAAGUGAGACUGUUAAUCUGAAAAAAAAAAAACUUGCAAACCAGCUUGUUCCCUUUAUAAAAAGAGUUGCUUUAGUCAGGUGUCAUAUUGCCUUCUAUUGGUUCCCUUUGUGGGAAAUGUAUGUUGUGUGUGAAUAUAUGCAACCCUAACAGUCUUGGAGAUCACUUUUUUUUGUCAAGAAAAUACUGGAAAUUGGUAUUGAGAAGGUCAUUAACAGAAAGUUUUUGUAUUUUAUCAGUUUAUUCCUACAUUUAACAUGGUUCUUUAGAAAUGCCAUGGAAUAAAAAAGCACUUGACAAAAAACAUUUUUAUUGUUCUCGUACCUGUAUUAGAUGGAAAUUACUUGUGCAAUGGUACCAACCCAUUCAUGAAAACAAUGUAUUCAACCAUGGAAUGUUGACCAGCUAUCUGCAGAGUGAAAAUCUACUUGACAGCAUUCAACCUCUUAAGUACAUUUUACAAAAGAUUCUGAGAAUGGCAAAAAUUAUGAACAAAUUUUGUAUUGGAGAAAUUCUAGGUAAAUGAAAGCCAUUUCACGAUACAGCUGAAUAGCUGUGAAACGCAACCAAUCGAGGAACUGAGUUUCUUGAACAACCAAACUUAUCUUGAAGAGCUGCAGAAAAAGAAUGGAACAUUACGCUGC